CCCUUGCCAAGCUUCCCACAGGAGGAAGAAAUAAGCCCCCUCCCCCGUCUAUGGCACUGCCCCUCAGAGAGCCACAGCCCACUGAUGCCCUGGUGCCUUGCAUCCUGUUGUCAUGGUAACCAGGACUAGCUGACGUGCCGACAGGCAGACCAGGAGCUGCUGCCACAGGAAUCACUUGAACUUGAUGUGACAGACACAGAUCUGGCUUGGCCACCUUGGUUCUAAAACGGAGAGAGAUGAUAACGCAUCAUUUGUGAAGAGGGGAAAAAAACGAUCCCAAGAAGCACACAUUUUUUUUUUUAAAAAAAUGACUAAAGAUUUACUAAGAACUACCCAC
rnacentral:lncRNA from 1 species